rnacentral:rRNA from 1 species
GGAUUAGAUACCCUGGUAGUCCACGCUGUAAACGAUGAAUGUUAAAUAUGGGAAGUUUUACUUUCUGUAUUACAGCUAACGCGUUAAACAUUCCGCCUCGGGACUACGGUCGCAAGAUUAAAACUCAAAGGAAUCGACGGGGACCCGCACAAGCGGUGGAGCAUGUGGUUUAAUUCGAUGCAACGCGAAAAACCUUACCACUCCUUGACAUGGAAAUUAUACCUAUUCAGAAGGGAUAGGGUCGGUUCGGCCGGGCUUCACACAGGUGUUGCAUGGCUGUCGUCAGCUCGUGUCGUGAGAUGUUGGGUUAAGUCCCGCAACGAGCGCAACCCUCAUCCUUAGUUACCAUCAGGUAAUGCUGGGGACUUUAAGGAAACUGCCAGUGAUAAACCGGAGGAAGGUGGGGAUGAUGUCAAGUCAUCAUGGCCCUUAUCGAGUGGGCUACACACGUGCUACAAUGGUGGCUACAAUGGCCUGCAAAGUCGAGAGGGUAAGCUAAUCCCUUAAAAGCCAUCUCAGUUCGGAUUGUACUCUGCAACUCGAGUGCAUGAAGUUGGAAUCGCUAGUAAUCGUGGAUCAGCACGCCACGGUGAAUACGUUCUCGGGUCUUGUACACACUGCCCGUCACGCCAUGGGAAUUGGUUUCACUGGAAGCUAACGACCUAACCGCAAGGAGGGCGUUAUUUAAAGUGGGAUCGGUGACUGGGGUGAAGUCGUAACAAGGUAGCAGUAGGGGA